rnacentral:lncRNA from 1 species
GACGAGGAGGGUUCUAGAGUUAGGAUAUUUUGUAUGGAAGAGUGUGGAAGUUGCCACAUGGCAACACCACAAUGAUCAUGAGCACCUACAAAUAGAGGUACUUCCCUCCCUCCUAGCCAUAGCAUGGCAUAUAGUGGCAUGUGAGCCAUAGGUGAAGAGAUGACAAAAUUGCCAUGUAGUGUAGUGGUGUCAUGGUAAGGUAGCCACAUAAAGAGUGUAAGAGUGAGUGUUGUAUCAAGUUAUGAGUAGGUGAAUAAAAGAUUUGAGUUCCCUUGUAGAGAGUUGGUCUCCCAUGUUGGUGUCGGUGUGAAUGUCUCCUCAGAGUGUGGGUAUAAGGUCCACAAAAGAAGUGGUGUCACACCACUUUGGUGCCACUUCUAGGGAGUUGGUGUCACGGUUUGGAUGUCGAUUUCUCAACACUAGGUAUCAUAGCCAGGUUGGUUAGCGACCGUCAUUGGGAGGAGUUUUGUGGUGAGUGCGAGGCACUCAUAGUGGUCGUGACGAGUUUUGUGGUGAGUGCGCGGCACUCAUAGUGGUCGGUGCAGUUGUUGGUAGGCGCAGGGCGCUUACAUUGCUUUGUGUGGCAUCGAGAGGCGCUAAGGGGAGACUCUGCCGGAGAUCACAAUCCGGGACUGUGAAGGAAUGUUGGUCUGGGACCAAGCGUAGGUGAUGCUGGGUGCCAGUUGAGAUGGCGGAUCUCUUGAGCGCAGGAGGUAUGAGGAAGCUCAAUAGCCACAACUAUGGCUAUUGGCAGACCUGCAUAGAGUCCUACUUGAUGGGUCAGGACCUAUGGGAGGUCGUAGCAGGCACCGAGAAAACUCCUCCACCAAAGGAGAACACGAAAGCCUUGCGGAAGUGUCGAAUCUAGGUAGGCAAGGCUAUGUUCGUGUUGAAGACGACGAUCGAGGAAGACCUGGUGGAGCACAUCAGAGACACAGUGACACCAAAUGAGGCUUGUGAGACAUUGUGAAGCUAUUCUCGAAGGAGAAUGAGGCACAAUUUCAGCUUCUAGAGAAAGAGCUUGCAGGUAUCUCACAAGGAACUCUGAGCAUUAACAAGUACUUUACUAAGGUAAAAAAUAUAUGCCGGGAGUUAUCUUAGCUUGACCCGGAGGAGAAGGUCAGCGAAGCUCGGAUGAGAAGGAUCAUCAUCAGCGGCCUAAGACCCGAGUACAGUGGGUUUAUGGCUGCAGUGCAUGGCCAGUACAGCCGUCCUUGGUGGAGUUGGAGAACUUAUUGGCUAAUCAGGAGGCAUUAGACAAGUAGAUGGGCAACAUCACUUUGGAAGAGAAGGAUGAAGAGGAGGUGCUCUUCAUCAGAAAGAAGGGUCCACCAAGAGUCCGAGGAGAGGCGAAAGAGUGGACAAGAGGUGAUAGGAGUUGCCCAAAGAAGAGCAACUAUUCAUGGGGAGCUCAACAAGAGAGCAGUGACGAAGAUGACGAAGAGUUAGUCAAGAAUGAGAGGAGAAGAAGAGGUGAGUGCUUCAACUAUGGCAAGAAAGGGCAUCUUGCACGGGACUGCUGGAGUCUACGGAGGCACUCAAAAGGAAACGUGGCUACAACAAAAGAAGUUGUCCUGAGUGGGUGGCUAAGCGAAGAAGAGUGGAAUGCUGAGGCAGCAGCCACAAUUGAAGAUGAUGGAGCUUACUUCGUGGAAGAUUUGACAGAAGGUGAAACUCCAUCAAAUAGCAUUGGAGAAGAAGAAGAAGAGUGGGAUGCAGAAGGUGGCUUCUCCAUGGAGGUGAGAGAUCCAGAUACUUUAGAUGGAUUCAUAGUAUUUGGAUAUGAUAGUGAUGAAGAUUGGGAGGCUCUAAGUGACGAGGAGGAAGAUAUUAAAGAUGAGAAGAUAGAGCCUAGUCUUCAUGAUGACGAGGAGCCACAAGAGCAUGGUGAAGAUAGACAUGGAGCAUUAGUGAUCCAUGAAGAUUUGGAGGAGCAUGAUAGGGCAAAGAAAAUUAUGGAAGGACGCAAUUGUAAAGUUCUCAGGUAUGACAAUGAUUCACCGGCUAAAGUUAUUUUGCCUUCGUACAAGGAAGCAUCUAGAGGACAGAGAACUAGAAGGGGGAAGAAGAAAGAGCAUGGAUGCAUAAGUCUGUGGGGAACCUCCAACUGAAGACAGAGGUAUAUGAGUUGAAGGAAAAGAAGACCAUGUCAUGAGGGGAAGUGAAGAAGAAGAUUCAUAAUGGUAGAGCGCAGAAGAUCCAAGGGCAGGGACACGCAAUGGUUCGAUCGCCCGAGACAAGUAUGCAUUGAGGGAGAGUGUUGAAAUAUGUAAUGCAUACUUGGAACAUUCUAGAAGAUUGUGGAGAUAUCAAGAGACUAACUUUGCCAUGUAUAAGGAUAAGAUCAUGACAAUGUAAGAAGGUUCUUGAAAAUUGGAGAGAAUGCAUGAGCCAUAGUUGCCAUGCUUCAUGGUGAAGUGUAUAAUACUCUGUAACUAGAUAUUUUAGCAUUAUUUUAGCAUGGUAGAAAUAUAAGAAACUAGAUAAGGAUGAGGAGGGUUCUAGAGUUAGGAUAUUUUAUAUGGAAGGGUGUGGAAGGUUCCACAUGGUAACACCAUAAUGAUCAUGAGCACCUAUAAAUAGAGGUGUUCCCCUCUCUCCUAGCCAUACCAUGGUAUAGAGUGGCAUGCAAGCCAUAGGUGAAGAGAUGGCAAAAUUGCCAUGUAGUGUAGUGGUGUCAUGAUAGGGUAGCCACAUAAAGAGUGUAAGAGUGAGUGUUGUAUCAAGUUGUGAGUAGGUGAAUAAAAGAUUUGAGUUCCCUUGUAGAGAGUUGGUCUCCCGUAUUGGUAUCGGUGUGAAGGUCUCCUCAGAGUGUGGGUACAAGGUCCACAGAAGAAGUGGUAUCACACCACUUUGGUGCCACUUCUAGGGAGUCGGUGUCAAGAUUUGGGCGUCGAUUUCUAACAGCUACAUAUUUUUGGCUGCUGAUUAUACCUAAAAGCAUAGAUGCUUUCAAAUUGUAGCUUUGGUCUAGAAGAUUUUAUUCUAUUUCUCGUGUACCAACUGUUCACCCUAGUAUAAUCUAGCUUUCAAUGAUGAGCAUGUUGAGU